AUUGAACGCUGGCGGAAUGCUUUACACAUGCAAGUCGAGCGGCAGCGCGGGGCAACCUGGCGGCGAGCGGCGAACGGGUGAGUAAUGCAUCGGAACGUACCCAGUCGUGGGGGAUAACUGUCCGAAAGGACAGCUAAUACCGCAUACGUCCUGAGGGAGAAAGCGGGGGAUCGCAAGACCUCGCGCGAUUGGAGCGGCCGAUGCCGGAUUAGCUAGUUGGUAGGGUAAAGGCCUACCAAGGCGACGAUCCGUAGCUGGUCUGAGAGGACGACCAGCCACACUGGAACUGAGACACGGUCCAGACUCCUACGGGAGGCAGCAGU
rnacentral:rRNA from 1 species